AACGAACGCUGGCGGCGUGGAUAAGACAUGCAAGUCGAACGAGAGAAUUGCUAGCUUGCUAAUAAUUCUCUAGUGGCGCACGGGUGAGUAACACGUGAGUAACCUGCCCCCGAGAGCGGGAUAGCCCUGGGAAACUGGGAUUAAUACCGCAUAGUAUCGAAAGAUUAAAGCAGCAAUGCGCUUGGGGAUGGGCUCGCGGCCUAUUAGUUAGUUGGUGAGGUAACGGCUCACCAAGGCGAUGACGGGUAGCCGGUCUGAGAGGAUGUCCGGCCACACUGGAAAUGAGACACGGUCCAGACACCUACGGGUGGCAGCAGUCGAGAAUCAUUCACAAUGGGGGAAACCCUGAUGGUGCGACGCCGCGUGGGGGAAUGAAGGUCUUCGGAUUGUAAACCCCUGUCAUGUGGGAGCAAAUUAAAAAGAUAGUACCACAAGAGGAAGAGACGGCUAACUCUGUGCCAGCAGCCGCGGUAAUACAGAGGUCUCAAGCGUUGUUCGGAAUCACUGGGCGUAAAGCGUGCGUAGGCUGUUUCGUAAGUCGUGUGUGAAAGGCGCGGGCUCAACCCGCGGACGGCACAUGAUACUGCGAGACUAGAGUAAUGGAGGGGGAACCGGAAUUCUCGGUGUAGCAGUGAAAUGCGUAGAUAUCGAGAGGAACACUCGUGGCGAAGGCGGGUUCCUGGACAUUAACUGACGCUGAGGCACGAAGGCCAGGGGAGCGAAAAGGGAUUAGAUACCCCUGUAGUCCUGGCAGUAAACGGUGCACGCUUGGUGUGCGGGGAAUCGACCCCCUGCGUGCCGGAGCUAACGCGUUAAGCGUGCCGCCUGGGGAGUACGGUCGCAAGAUUAAAACUCAAAGAAAUUGACGGGGACCCGCACAAGCGGUGGAGUAUGUGGCUUAAUUCGAUGCAACGCGAAGAACCUUACCUGGGCUUGACAUGUAAUGAACAACAUGUGAAAGCAUGCGACUCUUCGGAGGCGUUACACAGGUACUGCAUGGCCGUCGUCAGCUCGUGUCGUGAGAUGCUUGGUUAAGUCCAGCAACGAGCGCAACCCCUGUUGCCAGUUACCAGCACGUGAAGGUGGGGACUCUGGCGAGACUGCCCAGAUCAACUGGGAGGAAGGUGGGGACGACGUCAGGUCAGUAUGGCCCUUAUGCCCAGGGCUGCACACGUACUACAAUGCCCAGUACAGAGGGGGCCGAAGCCGCGAGGCGGAGGAAAUCCUGAAAACUGGGCCCAGUUCGGACUGUAGGCUGCAACCCGCCUACACGAAGCCGGAAUCGCUAGUAAUGGCGCAUCAGCUACGGCGCCGUGAAUACGUUCCCGGGUCUUGCAC
rnacentral:rRNA from 1 species